CCUCCCCCUAAAUUUUCUUCUGUCAAUUAUAAAUACAGAUGUUUUACAUAUACCCCAGAUUGUAAUGCCACUUAAAAUAGAACUAAAAUUUAAACAAGUAACAGGACAGAAAUCGCUUUUGUGUGUAAUUAUCUAUAAUGGAUAGUUAGUUACUGGCCUUGCUUUAUAAUUGAUGAAAAUAACUGUCAAUAUCAUAAGUAAAUAAACUGAUUAAUAUGACUAGAAUGUUUAAUAGAUGAGUGAAUGUGCAGUAGAUUUUAUAUACAACUACACAAGUCAAGAAAUAGCAUUACACAUCCUUAAAUGUUUACUUGCACUCAUGUAUUUUUAAUCCAUUAGGAUUUGUGGAAAUUUUAUUCCAAUAGUAUUCACAA
rnacentral:lncRNA from 1 species